rnacentral:lncRNA from 1 species
UUGAGGCCAGGUACACAGAUUAGUUUAAGACCAGGAGGAGAAAAAAAAAAAUAAAGCUGGUAAAAGAAUGGUAAAAGAAAUAAAAUGGAAUCAACCAUCAAUGUCUUGGCAAGAUCCUCGGACUAAAGAAUGUGAAAUAGACGUUCAAAGAUUAUACAUUUACAAAGCUAGCUAAUCAAAUGCCAGGCACAUUUGCUGACCCGAAAAAGAAUGACUAAAUCAUAUAUAAACCAGCUUGUAAAGCACCAACUAAAUUGAUGUCCAAGAGAGACACAGUCAAGUUGCUACGGAGUCUAUACAAGAUAGACCAAUAAAUUCCAAAGAUAAGAAUCCUCGGAAACAAAAGAGAAAGGUGCAUAGAAUG